rnacentral:rRNA from 1 species
UACGUAGGGGGCAAGCGUUGUCCGGAUUUAUUGGGCGUAAAGAGCGUGUAGGCGGCUAGGUAGGUCCGUUGUGAAAACUCGAGGCUCAACCUCGAGACGUCGAUGGAAACCAUCUAGCUAGAGUCCGGAAGAGGAGAGUGGAAUUCCUGGUGUAGCGGUGGAAUGCGCAGAUAUCAGGAAGAACACCAACGGCGAAGGCAGCUCGCUAGGACGGUACUGACGCUGAGACGCGAAAGCGUGGGGAGCAAACAGG